rnacentral:rRNA from 1 species
ACUCAAAUGAAUUGACGGGGACCCGCACAAGCGGUGGAUUAUGUGGAUUAAUUCGAUGCAACGCGAAAAACCUUACCUACCCUUGACAUGUCCUGGAGCCUGGUGAAAGCCGGGUGUGCCCGAAAGGGAACGGGAACACAGGUGCUGCAUGGCUGUCGUCAGCUCGUGUCGUGAGAUGUUGGGUUAAGUCCCGCAACGAGCGCAACCCUUGCCAUUAGUUGCCACAUUCAGUUGGGCACUCUAAUGGGACUGCCGGUGACAAACCGGAGGAAGGUGGGGAUGACGUCAAGUCCUCAUGGCCCUUAUGGGUAGGGCUUCACACGUAAUACAAUGGCGCGUACAGAGGGCAGCGAAGGGGCGACCUGGAGCCAAUCCCGACAAAGCGCGUCGUAGUCCGGAUUGCAGUCUGCAACUCGACUGCAUGAAGUCGGAAUCGCUAGUAAUCGCGGAUCAGCAUGUCGCGGUGAAUACGUUCCCGGGUCUUGUACACACCGCCCGU